rnacentral:rRNA from 1 species
UGGGGAAUAUUGCACAAUGGGCGCAAGCCUGAUGCAGCCAUGCCGCGUGUAUGAUGAAGGCCUUCGGGUUGUAAAGUACUUUCAGUCGGGAGGAAGGUGGUAAGGUUAAUAACUUUAUCAAUUCAUGUUACCUACAGAAGAAGCACCGGCUAACUCCGUGCCAUCAGCCGCUGUUAUACGGAGGGUGCAAGCGUUAAUCGGAAUUACUGGGCGUAAAGCGCACGCAGGCGGUUGAUUGAGUCAGAUGUGAAAUCCCGGGGCUUAACCCGGGAAUUGCAUCUGAUACUGGUUAGCUAGAGUCUUGUGGAGGGGGGUAGAAUUCCAUGUGUAGCGGUGAAAUGCGUAGAAAUGUGGAAGAAUACCGGUGGCGAAAGCGGCCCCCUGGACAAAGACUGACGCUAAGGUGCGAAAGCGUGGGGAGCAAACAGG